UGACUUACAGCUGAACCCACAUUCCCAGCAGCUUCAGCCUGGGGGCUGGGGGAGCGGGCAGACCGAGCUCAGAAAGGCAGGGGAGGGUAAAGAGGACUGUGGGGUUGCCCCUUUCAGGACCAAGUGCCACGUGUCACACACCCCCACCUCCACCUUUCUGCACACACAGAAAGGAGGAUAAGGCGCGGUAGUAGGUGCCAAUUUCCCCAACAAUAUCCAGAUCGGGGGAUUAUUUCCAAACCAGCAGUCACAGGAACAUGCUGCUUUUAGAUUUGCUUUGUCGCAACUCACAGAGCCCCCGAAGCUGCUCCCCCAGAUUGAUAUUGUGAACAUCAGCGACAGCUUUGAGAUGACCUAUAGAU
rnacentral:lncRNA from 1 species